AAUGUGCAGAUGCUGGCCACCGGAAUCUCUCGUCACUUCACAUCUUGCAUCGCGCAGACAGGGGGCAUCAGCCUGCAGCGAGAGGAUCGGCAACAUCCGCGCGGCCGCGGCGUCGUGCCGGCCCACUGCUCGCAAAGGACAGGAGCCCAUGCACGGCUGCACAUGCACAGAAGCAGGCAAACUGUUUGGCCCGCCCAGGUUUUUCUUUCAAGCUCUGCCACUGCCGAAGACCACGGUGGGAGAAGUUUUACAGGAGCCUCGUCACCAACAGCGUCUGCAACGUCUCGGAGGGGACAAGAAUAUCGCCUGACAUUUUUCUCAAUGGUUCGAUUCCUAUAUCAGGUUGUAUGCGAUUUUUAUAAAAAUCUUUGAAAUCUGACAAUGUAUGGUAUAUCCGCAAAGUGAACGGUCUGUGUGUCCAUUCAUGAGUAAGGAUUGGGAGAGUUUGCACCUGGGGCAGAAGAAUUAGUCAAUUGCUCACUUCAGCGUCAUGUUUUAAUAUUGCUGUCUUGCAACUAGAAGUACUGGAGGGCUGGAUAAUAUUGACGCUAGCUAUCCAGCUAUGGUUCCAACAACUUGUGCGCUCCAAUGUACCUUUUUUAAUCCUUACGUUUACACAUAAAUCACAUUGCUUGCGGUAUCAGCACAAUCAAUUGUAACCGUAGUCUCUCAUUUGUAUGACAUUACAGCCAACAUUUAGUCUCUCAUUUGUCUUCUCAUUUAUAUACAGGAUGGCUACUGACUAAAUUCAGAUAUAUGGAGUUCCGGGAUCAGUUCUGCAACUUUUUUUUUGCGGGAAUCAGUUCUGCAACUUGAGCAAGGAAAAAAACACCAACUCCCAUCGCAGGGUCGAACUGCCGGCGCGCUAGGGUUAGCGUCGGCGCCAUCCCGAGCCCCACCCGCCUAUCGGCCCCUCCCGGGACGGCUGCUAGUUCUGGCACUUUGCCACUGUGAUGCCCACUAGAUCUCGCGCUUUGCGAGCGCAUGCCGUUUGUUCCUCCGCAUCUGCCACUUCGGUGCAACCACUCCGUCAUCCAUAAAUAACGUGAAGGCAAGGCUCCAUUCAAGGGAGCGUGGCUAGCGACUAGACCGUCUAGGUGGACGCGAUCUUGAGCAGCGAAGAGCAGAUGCUCCGACAAGGCGAGCGUGGUUUCAGGCGACUUUUGCUUAGUUUGCUAACGAGAUUUCUGUCUCUUAAGGCGAGCGUGAGGCCACGACAAGUGGGACGCUAUGCAGGUUUUGGUGAAUGGUGCCGCUGCUGCAGCUCAUUGGUUCUAGCCCGACAUUCAGCUCUGAAUGGACGUGUGUCAGGGACAGGAUGAUCACAAUCCAGGUUUUGACACGGAGGUCAGGACCAAGCUUUAGGCAGAAAAGUGGGACAAUCUUCAGUAAGCUACAAUGUUCAUGUCUUCUUAUAUCAUUUGACUGAUGUGUUCUUGUAUCAUUCUUCUACUUUCGGAGCUAUUACUGCGAUCAUUUUGACCUCAUGUCUUCUUAUAUCAUUUGACCUUAUCUAGAUAUUAGUGGUUCUUAAUCCAGCAAGGUCUUGAAUAUUUUUCGCUUUGUCCAUUCAAAAUUUUGUUUGUCUAGCAACGUUCAUGGUUUAAGCUUUGAUUCGAAAAACAACUUCAUUGUUAUAGGAGAGACAAAGAGCAACAACAAGCCACUGUAGAUAUCGUGUAGUAGCAACAUUAAUGAUCUGCUAAUGUUAUAGGUUUUUUUUCUUCUUUCCUUAAUAUUUACAUGACCAAUGUGUAUUUUUAAUGAUCAAACAUGCACAUGUCACAUUAAGAGGUUGAGAGUAGCUCAAAAGAUAUGCAUACAUCCUCUACCUUUUACCUAAUGAAAUAUUUCUAAAACCAUAGUAGAUGUCAGGUGUAAAUUCCUUGAAGAACUGUUGGUUUUUGUAAUUAUUUCGUGAAACUUUCAAUGUAGGGUUCUAGGAUUGGUGAAUAAGCAGGGUUGUUUUCUUUCUUUAGUAUCUGCAUGAUCAAGUCGGUCUGUACUUUUAAUGAUCAUACCUGCACAUGUCACAUUAAGAUUGAAUAUAUUGUGACUUUUCUAACCAUUCCUUGUUAAUUGCUUGAGGAAAAACUAACAGGAAUAUUUUUCUUAGAAAUCCCAAGGAAGUAAUUGUUCUCACUGUGUUGGUAAAAUAGCAUAUUUUUGUUGUAUGUAUACUUAAUUUAAGGAGAUGUAGAUUUUCUUAUUAUCUUAUAUAUGUUUCUUUUCUUUUUUUUCUUCUUGUGAAAAAUGAGUUCAACAACAAAGGGGUCCUCAUUCUGGCCUCCUGGGGUUGAAAUGAUUACUCCUUUAAUUGAUUUGAAGAUUGUUAAUUUUUUUA